rnacentral:rRNA from 1 species
UACGGGGGGGGCAAGCGUUGUUCGGAAUUACUGGGCGUAAAGGGCUCGUAGGCGGCCAACUAAGUCAGACGUGAAAUCCCCGGGCUUAACCUGGGAACUGCACUUGUGACUGCACGGCUCGAGUACGGCAGAGGGGGAUGGAAUUCCGCGUGUAGCAGUGAAAUGCGUAGAUAUGCGGAGGAACACCGAUGGCGAAGGCAGUCCCCUGGGCCUGUACUGACGCUCAUGCACGAAAGCGUGGGGAGCAAACAGG